rnacentral:rRNA from 1 species
CAAUAGCGUAUAUUAAAGUUGUUGCAGUUAAAAGCUCGUAGUUGGAUUUGUGGCAGUCGCGUGCGGCCCGGCAUUCGUGCCGGUGCUUGCUAGCGUCGCCAUCCUUGGGUGGAACCUGUGUGGCAUUAGGUUGUCGUGCAGGGGAUGCCCAUCGUUUACUGUGAAAAAUCAGAGUGUUUCUAGCAGGCAGCUCGCUCUUGCAUAGGUUAGCAUGGGAUAAUUUAAUAGGACUCUGGUGCUAUUUUGUUGGUUUCGAACACCGGAGUAAUGAUUAAAAGGGGGCAGUCAGGGGCACUCGUAUUCCGUCGAGAGAGGUGAAAUUCUCAGACCAAUGGAAGACGAACCACUGCGAAAGCAUUUGCCAGGGAUGUUUUCACUGAUCAAGAACGAAAGUUAGGGGAUCGAAGACGAUCAGAUACCA